rnacentral:rRNA from 1 species
AACCCGGGGUGUUUGUCCCUAGUAACGGCGAGUGAGCGGCAACAGCUCAAAUUUGAAAUCUGGCCCCCCCCCGAGUUGUAAUUUGUAUAGGAAGAUUCUGGUGUGGCGCCGUCCGAGUCUCCUGGAACGGGGCGCCGUACAGGGUGAAAGCCCCGUAUCGACGGAGGCCAAACCUGUGUGAAGCUCCUUCGACCACUUCAGUUGUUUGGGAAUAUUGUAAAUA